AGAUGCUGGUGUAUGACAGGGUUUUGCAGGCAUCCAGAAGGAACCUUGGCAAAAUAAAUGAAUUAAAAAAGAAGUGGAACUCUGUUCAUCCCUCAUGUACUGAUUGCUCCCUCACCUGACCCUUCUAAAUAGAGAUGUCUUAUGGAAAAGGAUUCCCAUCUCAUGACCAGCUGUGGUGAUAAAACCCUCCUGGGACUCUCAGGGCAGACCGGGAUGCUUUCAGCAAGAAGCAAUGCUCAUCUGUUGUGCUCACUUGUGAGUGAUGAAGGCCAUGCCAGCCAGCUACACUGAAGAUAUUCUGACUGCAGUCAGUGGAGCGAGAGAUGGACUGCGCCCGAAUAUUUCUAACCAGAGUUCAUUGUGAUCUCAAAUCGAAUUCAUAUGGCUGCUGGAAUAACCAUGAGAAAAAAAACAGCAUUUGGAGGAAGGACUAGGCACCAUACAUGUGACUUAUCUGACAUAGAAUGACAUAGAUGUCUCAAAUGGGGUCCCAAAGGCCACCUGAGAUUGUAUCUUGAAUGCUACUGUCAGGAAAGGAAACUUUAUCUCUCGGUGCUGUUGGUAAGCAUUGUUUCCACAGAAACUCCCUCCCUUAGUUGGCAAGUGGCCUUGCUCUGGUGGGAGCUGGGUCUGGGGGUCGUGCCACUGUCUGCUGACAUGAUUCAAUUUAUUCUUAUGUGGAAAUGCAAAUCUUGGCCCUUCGAUCAUGUGAGCCCUAAAAGAGGGAAGCGCCUCUUUGUUUUAUUUGAAAAAAGUUGGAACUAACCAGAGCUGCUCGUUAUGAAAUAGUGACAGCAGAGCUUCCUUAAAUCAAGCAGAGUCUCAUCCUGCUGUUGGACCGUCCCACGGUGUGCUGUGUUCACACCACUUCUGCUCAGGGGGAUUGCUCUGCCAGCUCAGACCGUGAGCAGCUCUCCAGGGAGCACAACAGUGGAGCUCAGGGACCAGCGAGGAAAUGGGUUUCUGUGCUUUUGGGUUGCACCACAGGAAGAGGAGAAAUUACCCAGAGAGAAGAGAGGAGCAGCAGCCGGCCAGCAACAGGCAGAGCAGCAGGGCCCUCAUGGCCAUGUCUCCAUGUCACUGUGCCCCUCAGUGCCACAUCUCCCCUUUCUGGGCAGGCAGCUGGCUCAGUGCUGAUGGCAGGCAGGCUUCAGCCAAAGCUCUGCUGUGGGGAUUGUGGGGCUGUGGCAGCUCUGCAGGGAACCCCAUGGCUUUGGGACCCCUCUGGGCAGGAGCAAAGGACCACAAGACCCAGCAGGAGUGGGGGAGUGCAGGUGGAUGCACACCAGAGUCUGAUGCGUGGAGGAGCUCCCAGCACCUCAAAGUUGGCAUUUUGCCUGCCCCAAAUGCCAGCUGUUUCUACAGGUCACAUUUGGUGUGACUUAUUGUAGGUUUGGCUGUUCCACACUUGUCAAGCAGUGAGCGUGGUCUGUGGCAGCAGCCAGGCUCAGCAGCAGCCCAGCCGCUGCUUCAGCACAGGUUGGUUAGCUUGCAGCCUGAGGCAAACCUGAAAUCAUUAACAGCCCAUUUGCUGGGCUAAUGAUUCUUUUUUUACUAGAUGUAUAAUUUAAUAUAUGGUAACUUUCAUGCUUAAUUACACUCUUCAAAGCUUCUUUUGAAGGAAUUUAUUUUUCUGCAUGCAUUUAUUAAAAGGUGUUGGGAAUGGCUGGCUUGCUUCCCUGAUACUCUGCUUUAAAAAACAGAUCAUUUCUUUAAGUAGAUUUUAUUUGAGAUACGGGUAUUUCCUCCUAUGCAACUUGCAAUAUUUUUAACCCUCGAUGCUGGAAAAAACAAGGGUGAACUAUCCAGAUGUUACAAACAGUGCUGUUCUGUGCCUUACAGCAACCUGCCCCGUUGUUCUGCAUGAGGCGCAGGCCCAAACCCUUCCAGCACAAUGCAAGGCUUGAGCUCAGCAGCCUGGCCCCAUUCCAGCCCAUGUCUGACUCAGCAGUGAGUGCCCCUGCUCUGUAACCUCAGUGGGAGCACAGACAGGCUCCUGUAAGUGCUGUUAAUCCCACGUGCCGUUGGCAUGUGGCGCUUGUAAGGCUUGCUGGGAUCAGUUGGGAUGUAAGAGGCGUUGCAUGUAAGAUGUUUUCCACUGGCAUCCCAAAUCCAUUACUGUAUCAAUGAAAGGAUGGUGUGACUUUGUAGAUCGUGUCGCUUUUUUUUGAGCUAGGCAGCUGACUGAGGGGAUGGUCACGAAUUCAGGUUUCUUUCUGUGAGCUCUACUGUCCCCUUCAUGGAGAUUAAAAGUUUCCCAGUGCUGUUUUCAGCUCCGCAGAGCAAGUAAAAGAUAAUCUCCUGCUUGGAUAUCCUCGUGCUACUGCGAUCCACUAAUAGGAUCACCAUCCAGUUUUGACUUAACAGGCACCGGGAGAGGAUAAUCCUGUUUAUUCGGUCAUCCAAAGCACUGAUGAUGAUCUGAGAUAAUCGGUGGCUGAGAGCAGUGAGGAGGGACGCGUGAGGUCCUCCGUGCCUAGAUGGAUGAGUCAGAUGCCCAGCACUGCAGCCCCAGUGUGGUGUGGAGAAAGCCCCAACCAUCCUCACAAAGAAGACAGAAACCAACCAGGUGUUUGGGGCCCUGAAGGUGCGAUUUUCAUGUGUGGCUGUUUGAUGAGCCCUGAAGGGCAGAAUUCUUGCUCUCCAACCUUCCUUCCUCUGCACCCGAAGAGUCAGCACUGAACACUGUGCUCCUCCUGAGGGUGCUUCAGGGCUCCUCGUGCAGAGCUCCAUGCUGCAGCACAGCCCUAAAGGCAAAGGCACAUCUGUGCUGAAGGCACUGCUGCUGCACUCCAGCCCCCAGACUGAAGUAGUGGCUGCACUGCCCCGAAGGCACCACGUGUGUUGUGCAUGUAGCACCAUUUCUUUAUUGGUGUUGGUAAGAAAGAAGAGGUGUCGUAUGCUGGCUGCAGACAGCUGCGGCUCUGAGGAUCCCUUCUAAAGAGACAGCAAGAGUUACCCAGAAUGAGCAAGGCUUCUGGCACCCGCUCAACGAUUACAGAGGUUUUGCAGGGUGACAGCAGUUCUGCAAUCAGCCCGCAGGGAGCAGCAGAGCGGUACCGGGCUGCUUUCCUCCCGGAGCCCCUCGGGGCUGGCAGCGCCUAGCAAAGCAUCUGCAGACCCCCAGGAGGGAGUGCGCGUCCCCACCGCCCUGAGGGCAUCACGCCGUGCUGCAGUGGGGCUGUCCUGCGGCAGCAUCCGAGCAGGGCGAGAUCUCGUGUGACAGCCGCUGCCCUGCACGGCAGCAGCAUGGGACCAGCAGGAGAGCGCUGGCUGUGUGGCUUCACAAGGUGGGAACCACUGAAGAAAAGCUGUUUCUCAGUACUUAGGUCUGUCUAGAUUGAAUCCUGUGGAGAUGGUAGAGAACAAACUCAUGAAUUCGCCUUCACGUUAAUAUAAAACAGCUUUAUAAUGCUGGGGAGAUCUGGAUCCGCUCCAGCGUGGUUUUUCCUGCAUGUCUGGUUUUUGCAUUGCUUUCCACUUACUACUUGUUAUCCAUUUUCUGUUGUUUUGGUGUUGUUUCUCCUUUCCAAGUUUGAAAUAUAGCAUGAAGUUACAGAAUUUGGCCUGUGGCAGCUUGAUGAGCAUGUUUGUUUGUUUCAACUAAAUCUUUUCCUUUCCAAUUCUAUUUUCAAUGCCACGGAAACGUUCCCUUAAUCCCAAGGUUUUGUUGGUCAUCGUUGGUGAUGAAGUGCAGGGGAUCAGCAGUGACCCUUCUCAGGAAGUGUCCUCAGCACAGGGAUGGCUUUGGGAGGGCACAUGGGGAUGGCAGAAGGUGACAAACCAGGGUUUUUUUUCCUCAAUGAUUUGGAAAGCUUAUUUUUCUUUGAAAUGUGUUCUGCAGCGUAAGCAUGAGGCAGAACUGACAGCCCCACCUGCACUCACAUCUUGCUCAGCCUGAUGCCAACAUCUGCUGAGUUUCCAUUCUUCCCCUGUGCUCACGGUGGGGAACGGGCCUUAAUGCAACCCCACUGCCCUGCUGCACAAAGCAGACAGCUGGGUGCCUGACUGUGUUGCUACAACAAGUGUUUUCCUGUUGGCCAAAGUUCAACUUAAUCAGAAGGUCGAGCUUGUUUCAGGCUGACUAUCGGCGCAAUGAGUGAUAAGAGAGGAGAUGGCUCCGGAAGCACAUUCCAGGUGCUGGAGCAGAGCACACCCAGCUGUGGAAGGGCUGCAGACAGCACUGAUACUGGAACCUGUGGCUGCUCUCAAGCUGAGGUUAGCUGGUGGCAGUUCUUGACAAAUUCUGCAAGAGAAAACUGGGCCCUGGUGGACAAGGUUGUGGAUAAUUCUUCUGCCCGGGGCCGGUCCAGAGUUCAGUCCUGGUGUCUUGAAUUUAGGGAGGUGUUUGGUCAGAUGGUGGAAUGGCCCUGGGAGAGGGAAAUGUGAUUUUCUGAGCGGAAAGAUAUCUCCUGCAAAGCGCACAACAGGAGGCUGGGUUUGUCACUGUGUGCUCACAGCACAGUGGGGGGCUGCUGCAGCAGGGCUGGGCAGCAUCAUCUCUGCUGCUGUGAAAAGGGUGGCUGGGGAAAACUGUACAGAACUGCUGGGGAAAUCAGAACUGCAGCACUUCAGGGAUCAGUGCCGCAGUUUGCACGGCUGCUGCUUGAGCAAUGUGAUGGCAGUGCUGUAGAAGAACAAGCAAAAAAUUAAAUUAAAUUAAAAAAAAGAGAGGGGAUGAGGACUUCUCGUAAUAGGCCUCUUCUGUUUGCAGUAAGGUGGGGGACAUUUGCCAGGGAGUUAGAAAGCCCAUCAGAAUGCCCGUGGCCCACAGCCAUGCUUUCACCAGCUUGCAAGGGAUGGAUUUUUUACAUUUACUUUUUUUCUGUCAAAGGCAGCAUUCUCCAGGGGCCAGCUACAGAAAAACCUCUCCCGCC